rnacentral:rRNA from 1 species
GGCCAGACUCCUACGGGAGGCAGCAGUGAGGAAUAUUGGUCAAUGGACGGAAGUCUGAACCAGCCAUGCCGCGUGCAGGAAGACGGCUCUAUGAGAUGUAAACUGCUUUUGUACAAGGGUAAGCCUGAAUACGUGUAUUCAGCUGAAAGUACUGUACGAAUAAGGAUCGGCUAACUCCGUGCCAGCAGCCGCGGUAAUACGUAGGUGGCAAGCGUUGUCCGGAUUUACUGGGUGUAAAGGGCGUGCAGCCGGGCUGACAAGUCAGAUGUGAAAUCCCGCGGCUCAACCGCGGAACUGCAUUUGAAACUGUCAGCCUUGAGUACCGGAGAGGUCAUCGGAAUUCCUUGUGUAGCGGUGAAAUGCGUAGAUAUAAGGAAGAACGCCAGUGGCGAAGGCGGAUGACUGGACGGCAACUGACGGUGAGGCGCGAAAGCGUGGGGAGCAAACAGGAUUAGAUCCCCUGGUA